AUUGAACGCUGGCGGCAUGCUUACACAUGCAAGUCGAACGGUAACAGACCGCAAGGUGCUGACGAGUGGCGAACGGGUGAGUAAUGCAUCGGAACGUGCCCGAUCGUGGGGGAUAACGCAGCGAAAGCUGUGCUAAUACCGCAUACGAUCUACGGAUGAAAGCGGGGGACCUGUAAGGGCCUCGCGCGAUCGGAGCGGCCGAUGUCAGAUUAGGUAGUUGGUGGGGUAAAGGCUCACCAAGCCAACGAUCUGUAGCUGGUCUGAGAGGACGACCAGCCACACUGGAACUGAGACACGGUCCAGACUCCUACGGGAGGCAGCAGUGGGAAUUUUGGACAAUGGGCGCAAGCCUGAUCCAGCAAUGCCGCGUGCAGGAAGAAGGCCUUCGGUUGUAAACUAGCUUUUGUACGGUAACGAAACGGUACUGGGUUAAGUACCCUGGGCUAAUGACGGUACCGUAAGAAUAAGACACCGGACUAACUACGUGCCAGCAGCCGACGG
rnacentral:rRNA from 1 species